GAAACGACUGCUAAUACCGCAUAAGCCCACGACCCGGCAUCGGGUAGAGGGAAAAGGAGCAAUCCGCUUUGGGAUGGCCUCGCGUCCGAUUAGCUAGUUGGUGAGGUAACGGCCCACCAAGGCGACGAUCGGUAGCCGGACUGAGAGGUUGAACGGCCACAUUGGGACUGAGACACGGCCCAGACUCCUACGGGAGGCAGCAGUGGGGAAUAUUGCACAAUGGGGGAAACCCUGAUGCAGCGACGCCGCGUGGAGGAAGAAGGUCUUCGGAUUGUAAACUCCUGUUGUUGAGGAAGAUAAUGACGGUACUCAACAAGGAAGUGACGGCUAACUACGUGCCAGCAGCCGCGGUAAAACGUAGGUCACAAGCGUUGUCCGGAAUUACUGGGUGUAAAGGGAGCGCAGGCGGGAAGACAAGUUGGAAGUGAAAUCCAUGGGCUCAACCCAUGAACUGCUUUCAAAACUGUUUUUCUUGAGUAGUGCAGAGGUAGGCGGAAUUCCCGGUGUAGCGGUGGAAUGCGUAGAUAUCGGGAGGAACACCAGUGGCGAAGGCGGCCUACUGGGCACCAACUGACGCUGAGGCUCGAAAGUGUGGGUAGCAAACAGGAUUAGAUACCCUGGUAGUCCACACUGUAAACGAUGAUUACUAGGUGUUGGAGGAUUGACCCCUUCAGUGCCGCAGUUAACACAAUAAGUAAUCCACCUGGGGAGUACGACCGCAAGGUUGAAACUCAAAGGAAUUGACGGGGGCCCGCACAAGCAGUGGAGUAUGUGGUUUAAUUCGACGCAACGCGAAGAACCUUACCAAGUCUUGACAUCCUGCGACGCACAUAGAAAUAUGUGUUCUCCUUCGGGACGCAGAGACAGGUGGUGCAUGGUUGUCGUCAGCUCGUGUCGUGGGAUGUUGGGUUAAGUCCCGCAACGAGCGCAACCCUUAUGGUCAGUUACUACGCAAGAGGACUCUGGCCAGACUGCCGUUGACAAAACGGAGGAAGGUGGGGAUGACGUCAAAUCAUCAUGCCCUUUAUGACUUGGGCUACACACGUACUACAAUGGCGUUAAACAAAGAGAAGCAAGACCGCGAGGUGGAGCAAAACUCAGAAACAACGUCCCAGUUCGGACUGCAGGCUGCAACUCGCCUGCACGAAGUCGGAAUUGCUAGUAAUCGCAGAUCAGCAUGCUGCGGUGAAUACGUUCCCGGGCCUUGUACACACCGCCCGUCACACCAUGAGAGCCGGGGGGACCCGAAGUCGGUAGUCUAACCGCAAGGAGGACGCCGCCGAAGGUAAAACUGGUGAUUGGGGUGAAGUCGUAACAAGGUAGCCGUAGGAGAACCUGCGGCUG
rnacentral:rRNA from 1 species